rnacentral:tRNA from 1 species
AGCUUUAUAGUCAAUAAAAUGAUAUUAGACUGCAAUUCUAAAGUAGGUAAUUCCUAAAGCUU